GAUGCUAGAUGUCCCGCAUUGCAUGGAAAAUCCCAGAGAAUGGGGAGCCAUCUCAUCCCUCACCUGACCCUGGAAAGUCCAGGAGGGAAUUCAUGUGUGUACAAGUCCCGCUUAUAACUGUACUUGAACCUAGAACGGAAUUACUAAUUACAUGAAAAUCCAGACUUUUUCCCAAGAUGCUAACACCCAGGGGAGGAAAGAGGAGCUUAGAGGAGCCGCUGACUCCAGCCUCAGCCUUCGCUCAGGCACAGCGACGGUAAUCAGAAGCCCUGCUGGCCAGACUGGCACUCGACACAACUUUCUGGAGAAAAGGAGCCCUGCUUUCAUCAAUAAUACUCUGUGUCCAAGUAUGGCGGCAUCAAGAGACUGGCUUUGCAAGUUUCAGUGGACUGCAGGAUUGGCACAAAGAAAUGUGACCUAUAUAAUCAACAUGGAGAAUGAAUUCUGAUGCAGAGCUUGAGAAGCAGAACCACUCCCUAGCAGUGCCAGACUCCAAGACGGCAGACUCCACCAGCCAUGCUAAAGUCAUCGUCCUGAAUUCUCUCCCACGCUACCCCUGCCAACCGGCCUCCUCAUAAGUGGGUCCACUACAUAGAGAGAGAGGAGCGUCUCUGGUCUUGGCACCUUGGAUCGUGUGCAUUUGGGUUUGUGUGUAUGGGUUGUGUAUGUGCAAUCACACAGAAAAAAUUGAUGGAGAUCACUCAACAAAGUGGGUCUUCACCCUGAAUUUCAGGUGACUUUCUAGAUUAAGAGAUCUGCAGGAUGGAUGGCUAUCAUUUCUGUAUCUCUCAAAUACAGUAUCUGUGGGAUGAAUAAAUGAUUCUUUUUGAUGAGUUGGGCCUUCCCAAAGGAAGUUAACUAACAGGGGCCAUGUUAGUGGAAAAUUAAAUUUCAAAAUAAACAAAUGUGAAGUCAAAGAA